UACGAGGGGGGCGAGCGUUGUUCGGAAUUAUUGGGCGUAAAGGGUGCGUAGGCGGUUUGGUAAGUCUGAUGUGAAAUCUCUGGGCUCAACUCAUAGUCUGCAUCGGAAACUGUCGGGCUUGAGUGUGGGAGAGGUGAGUGGAAUUCCUGGUGUAGCGGUGAAAUGCGUAGAUAUCAGGAGGAACGCCGGUGGCGAAAGCGGCUCACUGGACCAUAACUGACGCUGAUGCACGAAAGCUAGGGGAGCAAACAGG
rnacentral:rRNA from 1 species